GAACGGUAACAGGAAGAAGCUUGCUUCUUUGCUGACGAGUGGCGGACGGGUGAGUAAUGUCUGGGAAACUGCCUGAUGGAGGGGGAUAACUACUGGAAACGGUAGCUAAUACCGCAUAACGUCGCAAGACCAAAGAGGGGGACCUUCGGGCCUCUUGCCAUCGGAUGUGCCCAGAUGGGAUUAGCUAGUAGGUGGGGUAACGGCUCACCUAGGCGACGAUCCCUAGCUGGUCUGAGAGGAUGACCAGCCACACUGGAACUGAGACACGGUCCAGACUC
rnacentral:rRNA from 1 species